GGGGAGGAGUGAAUGAGGAGUUUAUAGUAUGCAUGGUAGACAGGCCAACCUGCCAUCACUGUGCUUAGUGCUCUGUGUCAAAGGGGCAGCAGAGACAACUGCCUGGGCAGUGAGUUAGAGAAUCGGAACCAUCUAAGGAGGGCUCUCAAAAGCUUCUAGAACCUAUGACCUGUCAGCCUAGAGGGCACUUUUUUUUCAAGUUGGACUGAUGGAUCCACGAUGAUGAGCCCAGGACAGAGAGCUUCAGGGGUGGUAAUGACCAGCAGAUGCAGCUUCAGGAAGUUCAGAGUCUGAGAGGAAAGCAAGCCAAAGCACUUUCCAAAUUUGCUAAACAGGAUCUCCUUCUCCUCUAUACUGAGAGAUUGUCCUAUCCCAGGCACAGAGCCAAGUGCUGAGAAGACAUACCAAAAGGGAAUCAAGUGUCCAACCUCUCAAGGAGCCAUGGACAAUGGAGAAGACAGACAGGACAGAGACAAUCCAUCUUCACUAAGCACAUCGCAGCAGAGUUUUCUGUCAGAGCUCUCUUCUUCCUAAGGCAGAAUGAUACUGUUUGAAAGCGCAAACCAUUUCCUUUAUUCUGUCAGCCAUGAUGCAUGCUGUUGCUGCUUUCGCCUCUGGCCUAGCGUGAAGAGCUGCUGUGAA